rnacentral:tRNA from 1 species
GCCGGGGUGGCGGAGUGGUUAUCGCGCUGGCCUCGAGAUCCCACAUGGGCACAAAUAGGGCCUGUGCCAAAGACAAGCCAGCCAGUGGGCCUUUGGCUCGCAGGGGUUCGAAUCCCUUCCCCGGCG